UGUAAGAGUAGCACUGCUUCAUGUUUACUCAAGAAAAAGUAAAACAGAGUCAACAAAUGACUCAAAACAUCAGUCAUUUAAUGUUUUAAAAUUACAUCUUCAGUUGGACCAAAGUAUAAAGUUAUGUGGAAACCACAUGUAAAUAAUUCAUGUACAUAACAUGUUUACAAAAUGACAAAAUCGGACAAAAGAAACAUUUUUUUUCCAAAUGAAACUUGUACGUCUGGUGAAUUUCUAGUUAAAGGGGCAGCACUAUGUAAAAUCAUACUGGUUUUUUGUUUUUGUUUUGAGCUUUACAUCAUGUUGUGAUGUUAUUCUCUCAUCAGCCACAGACAGACGGGUGGUUCUUUUGGCGAAUGCAUCGCUCAACGCCUUGCUGGAGAUUAGGACUUUCACACAGUUUUGAGGCAGCAUAUGGUUCAGGCCGCCCACGCAGCGAUGACCUCAUCAGCGCCAGACGCAGAAGGAGAUCUUCAAGGGAGCUUCCAAGAAUGUGGAACCAGCCCACGCCGACCCAUCUGAGGGGAAGAGGCAGGAAAAACUGUUGUUGUUGAGGUGGGCUGUGUUACUUAAGUACACAUCAGCAACGUCCCACUCCAUGUUUUCCGCAUUGUACUCCGUCAUAUGAUAAAACUCACUCUGACCUCUGGUGGUAAGAUCAGGUAAUGCAGCACAGAAGCAAAUCACGACGUAUUACUUAAAUUGUUUUU